CCUACGGGUGGCAGCAGUGAGGAAUAUUGGUCAAUGGACGCAAGUCUGAACCAGCCAUGCCGCGUGAAGGAUGACGGCCCUAUGGGUUGUAAACUUCUUUUGUACGGGAAAAAACCCCUGGUCGCGUAUCAGGGCUGAUGGUACCGUAAGAAUAAGCAUCGGCUAACUCCGUGCCAGCAGCCGCGGUAAUACGGAGGAUGCAAGCGUUAUCCGGAUUUAUUGGGUUUAAAGGGUGCGUAGGCGGGAUGAUAAGUCAGUGGUGAAAUCCUACAGCUCAACUGUAGAACUGCCAUUGAUACUGUCAACCUUGAGUAUAUUUGAAGUGGGCGGAAUGUGUGGUGUAGCGGUGAAAUGCUUAGAUAUCACACAGAACACCGAUAGCGAAGGCAGCUCACUAAACUGUAACUGACGCUGAGGCACGAAAGCGUGGGGAGCAAACAGGAUUAGAUACCCUUGUAGUC
rnacentral:rRNA from 1 species